GCCGGGGGAGCCUUGACCCUGGUAACAUAAGCCCAGGCUUUACCUUUAAACACAUCAGCACAAAAAGCAGUAUGAAUGAUAUGAAUGUGCUAGACAUCACUGAAGGAAAAAAGAAUAGUCUCAAGGGAGGAAGAAAGCCACCUCCAGGACUAGUAAAACAGAAGAAUUCACCAGCCUAGGGAAAAACAAACGAGGCCGAGGAAGAGGAAUGCAUCCACAAGAAAGCCAAACACAACAGAGAUACUUCCCUGGCUGAAUUUGGGGUGGAGGAGACCACAGCCCACAGAAGCCAGGUUUCUUCCCCCUGAAACAAGGCAAGGGAGGAGGUUUUGGGUCCGCCUCUGGUCAGAGGCAGAGAACACCCAUCCUCCCUUACACAAACUGGCCCAGCUGUGGAAGCCCCAACCCCACAGGCCACAUCCUCAGGACCUUGGCAGCUGAGGGAGUGUCAUAGUCCAUCAAAGACCCUGAAAAGUGCCCCCCAGAGUCUUUCCUGAAUUCUCUCUCUCUCUCUCUCUCUCUCUCUCAUAUUUAGUAUGAGAUAAAACCCAUACUAUUGACAUUGGCAUAUGGUCUCGUUUGCACCUUA